rnacentral:rRNA from 1 species
UACGAGGGGGGCGAGCGUUGUUCGGAAUUAUUGGGCGUAAAGGGUGCGUAGGCGGUUCCGCAAGUCCUGUGUGAAAUCUUCGGGCUCAACUCGAAGUCUGCACGGGAAACUGCGGGGCUUGAGUGUGGGAGAGGUGAGUGGAAUUCCUGGUGUAGCGGUGAAAUGCGUAGAUAUCAGGAGGAACACCGGUGGUGUAGACGGCUUUCUGGACCGUAACUGACGCUGAGACACGAAAGCGUGGGUAGCAAACAGG